UUAUGUGAUCGUCUCUCGCAUAUCAAUAAGCGGAGGAAAAGAAACUAACAAGGAUUCCCCUAGUAACGGCGAGUGAAGCGGGAAGAGCUCAAAUUUGAAAUCUUAAAGGGUUUCCCUUUACGAAUUGUAGUUUAAAGAAGUGUUUUCUGUUGAGGUUUUGGUAAAAGUUCUUUGGAAUAGGACAUCAUAGAGGGUGAGAAUCCCGUAUUUGACCUUUACUUUCAACUUUGUGAUACACUUUCAAAGAGUCGGAUUGUUUGGGAAUGCAGUCCAAAAUGGGUGGUAAAUUUCAUCUAAAGCUAAAUAUUGGCGAGAGACCGAUAGCGAACAAGUACCGUGAGGGAAAGAUGAAAAGAACUUUGAAAAGAGAGUUAAACAGUACGUGAAAUUGUCAAAAGGGAAGCGUUUGACACCAGUGUUGUUUUUCUGAAAAUCAAUUAAAGAACUGUUUAUGCUAAGUUGUUUAGACUUUAUCAGCUAUCUGUUUAGUUUUGAGCUUUUCUUUAAUGCACUUUUCAGUUAACAAGUCAACAUCAAUUUCUUUUGCUGUAAAAAAGCUUGAGGAAGGUGGCUUGAGAUUCGUCUUAAGUGUUUAUAGCCUCUUGCCUAUGCAGUCGGAGAGAUUGAGGUCUGCAGCGUAGAUCCUUCGGGGCUAAAUGCAUUUGUGCUAAGUUGUAGCAUUUUAUAGACAACUUGUUGACUAUGAUUUGUCUUGUAGCUUACUCGCUUAUGUUAUUUUACCUACGCUUAGGAUGUUGAGUAGCGACAUACGCAC
rnacentral:rRNA from 1 species